rnacentral:rRNA from 1 species
UACGUAGGGUGCAAGCGUUGUCCGGAAUUAUUGGGCGUAAAGAGCUCGUAGGCGGUUCGUCGCGUCGGCUGUGAAAACCCGGAGCUCAACUCCGGGCCUGCAGUCGAUACGGGCGGACUUGAGUGUUGCAGGGGAGACUGGAAUUCCUGGUGUAGCGGUGAAAUGCGCAGAUAUCAGGAGGAACACCGGUGGCGAAGGCGGCGACCUGGGUGGAUACUGACGCUGAGGCGCGAAAGCGUGGGGAGCAAACAGG